rnacentral:rRNA from 1 species
GACGAACGCUGGCGGCGUGCUUAACACAUGCAAGUCGAGCGGUAAGGCCCUUUCGGGGGUACACGAGCGGCGAACGGGUGAGUAACACGUGGGUGACCUGCCCUCAGCUCUGGGAUAAGCCUGGGAAACCGGGUCUAAUACUGGAUAUGACUCCAUGACGCAUGUUGUGGGGUGGAAAGCCUUGUGCGGCUGAGGAUGGGCCCGCGGCCUAUCAGCUUGUUGGUGGGGNGAUGGCCUACCAAGGCGACGACGGGUAGCCGGCCUGAGAGGGCGACCGGCCACACUGGGACUGAGACACGGCCCAGACUCCUACGGGAGGCAGCAGUGGGGAAUCUUGCGCAAUGGGCGGAAGCCUGACGCAGCGACGCCGCGUGA